rnacentral:rRNA from 1 species
UAGGGAAUCUUCGGCAAUGGGGGGAACCCUGACCGAGCAACGCCGCGUGAGUGAAGAAGGCUUUCGGAUCGUAAAGCUCUGUUGUUAAGGAAGAACGAGUGUGAGAAUGGAAAGUUCAUACUGUGACGGUACUUAACCAGAAAGGGACGGCUAACUACGUGCCAGCAGCCGCGGUAAUACGUAGGUCCCGAGCGUUGUCCGGAUUUAUUGGGCGUAAAGCGAGCGCAGGCGGUUAGAUAAGUCUGAAGUUAAAGGCAGUGGCUCAACCCUUGUAGGCUUUGGAAACUGUUUAACUUGAGUGCAGAAGGGGAGAGUGGAAUUCCAUGUGUAGCGGUGAAAUGCGUAGAUAUAUGGGGGAACACCGGUGGCGAAAGCGGCUCUCUGGUCUGUAACUGACGCUGAGGCUCGAAAGCGUGGGGAGCGAACAGG